AGCGAAUCUGAUGACUGCAGCGCGGCAGUCACAGCAACAGAAUGUGGAACUGUGGAGCCUAUGGAUACUGACGCUACAAUCAAAGAGCAAGUUCAUGACAUGGAAGAUUUUGGGUCUGUACUGUCAGUGUCAUCGACAGUAACUGAGACUGUUCCUCCCUCUGAAGGACAAGAUGCUUGUGAAGACCAGCAUAGAAGAGUGCCAAAGAAAGUGUGGUUGAAGGCUGAGGUUGCUGCAGUAUUGUGACAUUUCAGAGAUCACAUUCAAAAAGGAAAACUGGCCACCAAAAAUGAAUGUAGUCAAUGCAAGCUGGUAGAAGGCCCUGUGCUAGCUCAAAGAACAGUGCAAAAUAUUAGGGACUUUGUUAGAA